UAUCAACAUGACAAGGUACAUUAGGGUUUGAAUGAGUUAUUUUAAGGUUUUUAUCUAUUUUUAAAGAGUUAUGAGCUCCAGAAAUAGGGACUUUUGUUCUAAUCCGAGAAUAGAGUAUAAUAGUCGAAGUGAUGGACAUAAAUUAAAGAUUAAUGGAGAUACUCAUUAUUUGUAUGUUAGGUACUUCGGGCGCGCACGCCGGAGCUCCUACGGCCGAACCUUCCACGUCUUAGAUCGGUCUUUUCUUAUUUUGAGGUAUGGCCUUUGAGAUGAGAUCGGGCGAGACGACGACUAUAGUUAGAAAGUAGCAUGUUGAUCGUCUCCAUUUUUGUAUUAUGUAGAUCUUAUCUUUGUAUUUUGGGCAAUCAUUUUGGAUAUGUAUUAGGCCAUAUUGGACUAUGAAUUGUACAAACUUGCUACUUGUUAAGUUGAGGGCAUAACCAUUUAGAAGUUUUAUGUAUGCUUAAAUGGAAUGGUAUUUUGGAUAAC